rnacentral:rRNA from 1 species
AUUGAACGCUGGCGGCAUGCUUUACACAUGCCAGUCGAACGGCAGCGCGGGCUUCGGCCUGGCGGCGAGUGGCGAACGGGUGGGUAGUACAUCGGAACGUGCCCAGUAGUGGGGGAUAGCUCGGCGAAAGCCGGAGUAAUACCGCAUACGACCUGAGGGUGAAAGCGGGGGAUCUUGGGACCUCGCGCUAUUGGGGCGGCCGAUGGCCGAUUAGCUAGUUGGUGGGGUAAAGGCCUACCAAGGCGACGAUCGGUAGCUGGUCUGAGAGGAGGACCCGCCACACGGGGAGUGAGACACGGCCAAGACUCCUACGGGAGGCAGCAGAGGGGAACUGUGGGCAAUGGGCGAAAGCAUGAUCCAGCAAUGGCGCGUGUGUGAUGGAGGCCUUCGGGUUGUAAAGAACUUUUGGCGGGAACGAAAAGGACUGUGCCAAUACCACGGUUCGAUGACGGUACCCGCAGAAUAAGCACCGGCUAACUACGUG